UACGAAGGGGGCUAGCGUUGCUCGGAAUCACUGGGCGUAAAGCGCGCGUAGGCGGCUUGUUAAGUCAGGGGUGAAAUCCUGGAGCUCAACUCCAGAACUGCCUUUGAUACUGGCGAGCUUGAGUUCGGGAGAGGUGAGUGGAACUGCGAGUGUAGAGGUGAAAUUCGUAGAUAUUCGCAAGAACACCAGUGGCGAAGGCGGCUCACUGGCCCGAUACUGACGCUGAGGCGCGAAAGCGUGGGGAGCAAACAGG
rnacentral:rRNA from 1 species